rnacentral:rRNA from 1 species
ACUCCUACGGGAGGCAGCAGUGGGGAAUCUUGCGCAAUGGGCGAAAGCCUGACGCAGCAACGCCGCGUGCGGGAAGAAGGCUCUCGGGUUGUAAACCGCUUUCAGAAGGAACGAAACUGACGGUACUUUCAGAAGAAGGUGCGGCCAACUACGUGCCAGCAGCCGCGGUGACACGUAGGCACCAAGCGUUGUCCGGAUUUAUUGGGCGUAAAGAGCUCGUAGGCGGUUCAGUAAGUCAGGUGUGAAAUCUUUGGGCUUAACCCAAGCGUGCAUUUGAUAGCUGUACUUGAGUUCGGUAGGGGAGUGGGGAAUUCCUAGUGUAGCGGUGAAAUGCGCAGAUAUUAGGAGGAACACCGGUGGCGAAGGCGCCACUCUGGGCCGAAACUGACGCUGAGGAGCGAAAGCGUGGGUAGCAAACAGGAUUAGAUACCCUGGUAGUCCACGCCGUAAACGUUGGGCACUAGGUGUGGGUUCCAACCAACGGAAUCGCGCCGUCGCUAACGCAUUAAGUGCCCCGCCUGGGGAGUACGGCCGCAAGGUUAAAACUCAAAGGAAUUGACGGGGGCCCGCACAAGCAGCGGAGUGUGUUGCUUAAUUCGAUGCAACGCGAAGAACCUUACCUGGGCUUGACAUGUGGGGAAAAGCGGUAGAGGUACGGUGUCCUUCGGGGCCUCACACAGGUGGUGCAUGGCUGUYGUCAGCUCGUGUCGUGAGAUGUUGGGUUAAGUCCCGCAACGAGCGCAACCCUUAUUCUAUGUUGCCAGCGGAUUAUGCCGGGGACUCGUAGAAGACUGCCGGGGUCAACUCGGA